UGCACUUUUUGACCACAAACAGUUUGACCACGUAAAGAAUAUUAAAAGCAAUGGUCGGGGGCAUAAGAAAAAUAAUAUUAAGGGAUUUAAAAUAAGUAGGCCUGAUUAUGAACAAUCCAUCCUGUAAAUGUAACCGAAGUGUAAGGUGAGCACAGGGUGGCAGCUGCUUCCUGCGGUGUUUUCCUGCUCAGGUCAGUCUCUCCAGGG